rnacentral:rRNA from 1 species
GAUGAACGCUAGCUACAGGCUUAACACAUGCAAGUCGCGGGGCAGCAUGGGGGUUGCUUGCAAUCCCCGAUGGCGACCGGCGCACGGGUGAGUAACGCGUAUCCAACCUGCCCUUCACCACGGGAUAACCCGGCGAAAGUCGGACUAAUACCGUAUGUUGUCCAUUGACGGCAUCCGAUUUGGACGAAAGGCUUGGCGGUGAGGGAUGGGGAUGCGUCCGAUUAGCCAGACGGCGGGGUAACGGCCCACCGUGGCUACGAUCGGUAGGGGUUCUGAGAGGAAGGUCCCCCACACUGGAACUGAGACACGGUCCAGACUCCUACGGGAGGCAGCAGUGAGGAAUAGUGAUCAAUGGGCGUAAGCCUGAACCAGCCAAGUAGCGUGCAGGAUGACGGCCCUAUGGGUUGUAAACUGCUUUUAUGCGGGGAUAAAGUGGCCCACGUGUGGGCUUUUGCAGGUACCGCAUGAAUAAGGACCGGCUAAUUCCGUG